CAGGGCUUGACAUCCUCAGAAUCUUUGGGAAACCAAGGAGUGCCCUUCGGGGAGCUGGGAGACAGGUGGUGCAUGGUUGUCGUCAGCUCGUGUCGUGAGAUGUUGGGUUAAGUCCCGCAACGAGCGCAACCCCUGUGUUUAGUUGCUAACGAGUAAUGUCGAGCACUCUAGACAGACUGCCGGUGAUAAACCGGAGGAAGGUGGGGAUGACGUCAAAUCAUCAUGCCCCUUAUGUCCUGGGCUACACACGUGCUACAAUGGCCAGUACAGACGGAAGCGAAGCCGCGAGGUGGAGCAAAUCCGAGAAAGCUGGUCUCAGUUCGGAUUGCAGGCUGCAACUCGCCUGCAUGAAGUCGGAAUCGCUAGUAAUCGCAGGUCAGCAUACUGCGGUGAAUACGUUCC
rnacentral:rRNA from 1 species